AUUUCAAAUAUGAACCCCUAAAUGAUGAGGACAAGACUUGAUUAUUGUGAGAAACACGCUCACCCAUCCAAACCCGAAGAAUGGACUCAGAAGCACAAAGAAUAGCAAAAUACUGUUUCAUUAUCCCAGCCUACAUCUUUCUCCCAUGCUGGAUGCUUCCUGCCCUUGAACGUCAGACUCCAAGUUCUCCAGUUUUGAGACUCAGACUGGCUCUCCUUGCUCCCCAAGCUUGCAGGCAACCUAUUGUAGGACCUUGUGAUUGUAUGAAACAAGUCUUUCAGCAUCUUCCUAAAAUGUG
rnacentral:lncRNA from 10 species